UACGAAAGGAGCAGGUGUUAUUCAGAUUAACUGGGCGUAAAGCGUGCGCAGGCGGUUUUGUAAGCCAGAUGUGAAAUCCCCGGGCUUAACCUGGGAAUGGCAUUUGGGACUGCAAGGCUUGAGUGCGGCAGAGGAGACUGGAAUUCCUGGUGUAGCAGUGAAAUGCGUAGAUAUCAGGAGGAACACCGAUGGCGAAGGCAGGUCUCUGGGCUGACACUGACGCUCAUGCACGAAAGCGUGGGGAGCAAACAGG
rnacentral:rRNA from 1 species